rnacentral:misc_RNA from 1 species
GCAUGUCAAGUUAGCAUAGGGAAUAUUCAGUGGAACAGAAUUCAACCUCACAUGAUCACAACAAGAAUCGUCACUAAAACUGGAAGGAUGAUAGUGUUUCAAUAUUCAAGGAAUGAAUAUCAACAUCAUAACAUUUCUUGAGAAGUUAAGUAUCAGAAAAAGGUUCUUUGAAGUAGGCUUAGUUUGUUUUGAAGAAAAUAACUUAGCUAUGGAAAAUAUUCGCUGAUCAACAUUUUUGAGAAAAAUAAAUUGUUUUUUGCUGAUUUGGUUGCAACACUGGAAAUUAUGUUCUGUUGUUUGAAGUACAGCUUUGAACAUGAACUUUAAGCUCCAGAGCCAUCACCACCAAUUCUAGUGUCCAUAAAUUCUUACUUGUCCGCAAAAGACAAGAUGAAAUAGCUCAAUUUGUGGUUAUUUUCAACAACAUACUUGCUGGUGGAGAGGUCGAACCACACAGCUAAUUGGACAAAUAAACUGCCGGUCAUUCAUAUUCUCCACAAGUACAAAUUUACA